CCUACGGGAGGCAGCAGUGGGGAAUUUUGGACAAUGGGGGCAACCCUGAUCCAGCCAUGCCGCGUGCGGGAAGAAGGCCUUCGGGUUGUAAACCGCUUUUAGCCGGGACGAAAGCUCCACUCCUAAUACGGGUGGGGGUUGACGGUACCGGCGGAAUAAGCACCGGCUAACUACGUGCCAGCAGCCGCGGUAAUACGUAGGGUGCGAGCGUUAAUCGGAAUUACUGGGCGUAAAGCGUGCGCAGGCGGUUCGUUGUGUCGGCGGUGAAAGCCCCGGGCUCAACCUGGGAAUGGCCGUUGAAACUGGCGAACUGGAGUGUGGCAGAGGGGGGUGGAAUUCCGCGUGUAGCAGUGAAAUGCGUAGAGAUGCGGAGGAACACCGAUGGCGAAGGCAGCCCCCUGGGCUGACACUGACGCCCAGGCACGAAAGCGUGGGGAGCAAACAGGAUUAGAUACCCUGGUAGUCCACGCCCUAAACGAUGUCGACUGGGUGUUGGGGAAGCGAUUUCCCAGUACCGUAGCUAACGCGUGAAGUCGACCGCCUGGGGAGUACGGCCGCAAGGUUAAAACUCAAAGGAAUUGACGG
rnacentral:rRNA from 1 species